rnacentral:rRNA from 1 species
GACGAACGCUGGCGGCGUGCCUAAUACAUGCAAGUCGAGCGGACUGAUUAAGUGCUUGCUCUUAUGACGUUAGCGGCGGACGGAUCAGUAACAUGUGCGCCACCUGCCCUGUAGAUAGGGAUAACACCGAGAAAUCGGUGCUAAUACCGGGCUAUUUCUGAGAUCACAUGGUUUUAGGUUAAAAGAUGGCUUCGGUUAUCACUACACGAUGCGCCCGCGGCGCAUUUGCUAGUUGGUAAGGUACUGGCUUACCAAGGCGACGAUGCGUAGUCGACCUGAGAGGGUGGGCGGCCAGCCUGGGAGGGAGACACGGCCCAGACUCCGUCGGGAAGCAGCAGUAGGGAAUCUUCCGCAAUGGGCGAAAGUUAGACGGAGCAACGCCGCGUGAGUGAUGAAGGGUUUCGGCUCGUAAAUCACUGUUGUUGGGUAGGAAACAGUACCGAGCGAACUAGGUGGGUACCUUGACGGUACCUAACCAGAAAGCCACGGCUAACUACGUG